UACGUGCCAGCAGCCGCGGUAAUACGUAGGGUCCGAGCGUGUCCGGAAUUAUUGGGCGUAAAGGGCUCGUAGGCGGUUUGUCGCGUCGGGAGUGAAAACUAGGGCUCAACCCUGAGCGUGCUUCCGAUACGGGCAGACUAGAGGUAUGCAGGGGAGAACGAAUUCCUGGUGUAGCGGUGGAAUGCGCAGAUAUCAGGAGGAACACCGGUGGCGAAGGCGGUCUCUGGGCAUUACCUGACGCUGAGGAGCGAAAGCAUGGGGAGCGAACAGGAUUAGAUACCUGGUAGUCCAUGCCGUAAACGUUGGGCGCUAGGUGUGGGGACCUUCCACGGUCUCCGUGCGCAGCUAACGCAUUAAGCGCCCCGCCUGGGGAGUACGGCCGCAAGGCUAAAACUCAAAGAAUUGACGGGGGCCCGCACAAGCGGCGGAGCAUGCUGAUUAAUUCGAUGCAACGCGAAGACCUUACCUGGGUUUGACAUAUACCGGAAAGCUGCAGAGAUGUAGCCCCCUUUUGGUCGGUUACAGGUGGUGCAUGGCUGUCGUCAGCUCGUGUCGUGAGAUGUUGGGUUAAGUCCCGCAAGAGCGCAACCCUCGUUCUAUGUUGCCAGCACGUUAUGGUGGGGACUCAUAGGAGACUGCCGGGUCAACUCGGAGGAAGGUGGGGAUGACGUCAAGUCUUCAUGCCCCUUAUGUCCAGGGCUCAAGCAUGCUACAAUGGCCGGUACAAAGGGCUGCGAAACUGUAAGGUGGAGCGAAUCCCAAAAGCCGGUCUCAGUUCGGAUUGGGGUCUGCAACUCGACCCCAUGAAGUCGGAGUCGCUGUAAUCGCAGAUCAGCAACGCUGCGGUGAAUACGUUCCCGGGCCUUGUACACACCGCCCG
rnacentral:rRNA from 1 species